UUUUGGACAAUGGGCGAAAGCCUGAUCCAGCAAUGCCGCGUGUGGGAAGAAGGCCUUCGGGUUGUAAACCACUUUUGUACGGAACGAAAAGGUCUGCCCUAAUACGGUGGGCCCAUGACGGUACCGUAAGAAUAAGCACCGGCUAACUACGUGCCAGCAGCCGCGGUAAUACGUAGGGUGCGAGCGUUAAUCGGAAUUACUGGGCGUAAAGCGUGCGCAGGCGGUUAUAUAGGACAGUUGUGAAAUCCCCGGGCUCAACCUGGGAAUUGCAUCUGUGACUGUAUAGCUAGAGUACGGUAGAGGGGGAUGGAAUUCCGCGUGUAGCAGUGAAAUGCGUAGAUAUGCGGAGGAACACCGAUGGCGAAGGCAAUCCCCUGGACCUGUACUGACGCUCAUGCACGAAA
rnacentral:rRNA from 1 species